rnacentral:rRNA from 1 species
GUAGGUGGGUUUGUAAGUCAGAUGUGAAAGCCUUCUGUUCAACGGAAGAAUUGCAUCUGAAACUACAAACCUUGAGUAUAGGAGGGGAGAGUGGAACUUCUGGUGGAGCGGUGAAAUGCGUAGAUAUCAGAAGGAACGCCGGCGGCGAAAGCGACUCUCUGGCCUAUAACUGACACUGAGUGUGCGAAAGCUAGGGGAGCAAACGGGAUUAGAUACCCCGGUAGUCCUAGCCGUAAACGAUGGGCACUAAGUAG